ACACUCCUGCGGGAGGCAGCAGUGGGGAAUUUUGGACAAUGGGGGCAACCCUGAUCCAGCAAUGCCGCGUGAGUGAAGAAGGCCUUCGGGUUGUAAAGCUCUUUUGUCAGGGAAGAAACGGUGGUGGCGAAUAACUACUACUAAUGACGGUACCUGAAGAAUAAGCACCGGCUAACUACGUGCCAGCAGCCGCGGUAAUACGUAGGGUGCAAGCGUUAAUCGGAAUUACUGGGCGUAAAGCGUGCGCAGGCGGUUGUGUAAGUCAGAUGUGAAAUCCCCGGGCUCAACCUGGGAAUUGCAUUUGAGACUGCACGGCUAGAGUGUGUCAGAGGGGGGUAGAAUUCCACGUGUAGCAGUGAAAUGCGUAGAUAUGUGGAGGAAUACCGAUGGCGAAGGCAGCCCCCUGGGAUAACACUGACGCUCAUGCACGAAAGCGUGGGGAGCAAACAGGAUUAGAUACCCGAGUAGUCCCAUGAU
rnacentral:rRNA from 1 species